GACAGAGGGUGCAAACGUUGUUCGGAAUUACUGGGCGUAAAGCGAGUGUAGGCGGUUUGGAAAGUCGGGGGUGAAAGCCCGAGGCUCAACCUCGGAACUGCCUUCGAUACUGCGGGUCUCGAGUCCGGGAGAGGUGAGUGGAAUUCCUAGUGUAGCGGUGAAAUGCGCAGAUAUCAGGAGGAACACCAAUUGCGAAGGCAGCUCGCUGGGACGUAACUGACGCUGAGACGCGAAAGCGUGGGGAGCAAACAGG
rnacentral:rRNA from 1 species